UCAUUUGCAUUACCCUAACCCUCCAGUAGAUGGAACUGUUUAACAUCUAAGGACAGGAUCGACCAAAUUCGAGGCCUUCCAUUUCUUUCAUUUUUCGAUUGUCUGUUUCCCUCCCCCUUUUGUUAUGUGUUCAGCAAAAUCAAAUAUUCUUGGCUAUAAAAAAGUCUCCUGCAGUGUGAUCAAAGCAUUGAUAUUACUGGAGAAAAUAAAAUAGUGUAUUGGCAUUUGGAGAGGUUUUCCUGCACAAACGCGUAUUCAAAACAGACAUCUGUAAUGGAAAAAUGUCUCGGCACCUUGCAACAUUAUCGAACAUCUGUUCUGUGGCUCAUCUGGAGGGACGGCUGACUAAAUGCAUGAGCAUUUGAAGGCAGAGAGAGGCAUUCACAGUAAAUACUACAAAACAACAAAAGAAUCGAAGAAAUACAAAGAGGAAUAAACAAUUAAUGUGCAAAAGACUAUGCAAUUACAAACAAGAGAAAAAAGUAAUAAUAAUAACAAUAAAAGCCACAUUCUAAGCACCACUAGAAAAGUCCAAAAGUUCCUAGCAAUUGACAAAUGAGUGUGCCUGGCUACGCAGUACCUCAGGUUUUACCAGAUUGAGCUCAGAGAAAAUAAAAAUACAACAAUAGAAAUAAUAAUCAAUAAAUAAGCAAUAAAUAUCAAGAACACAAGUUGUAGAGCUCUU